GCCGGGCUAUCGCGACAGGUUCGAGGAAAGUCCGUGCACCAUAGAGCAGGAUACCGGAUAACGUCCGGUGGAGGCGACUCCAAGGCAAGUGCAACAGAAAGAAACCGCCCGAAAGGGUAAGGAUGGAAAGGUGAGGUAAGAGCUCACCAGCUCGUCGGAGACGGCGUGGCUCUGUAAACCCUAUCCGGUGCAAGAUCAAACCGCCCAAUCGGCUGCUCGUCGGGGCGAAGGGAUCGCUAGACUUCAGCGGUAACGCUGAAGCGAGACAGAUGAUAGCCAAAACAGAACACGGCUUACCGGCUUGCUUC
rnacentral:RNase_P_RNA from 1 species